rnacentral:lncRNA from 1 species
AAGUUCCCGAUACUUCUAAUACUCUUCUCAUUUUUCCCAUGGGUUUGCCAGAUAAGUAUAUGCACCUCAAGAAUAAUCAACUGAAGACUGAUGGAAGUUGGUGGAUGAAUACCCCAUUUCCUUCUCCUCAGGUGGGACAACUCUGAAGCAUGGCAUGGCACCUUCCCCCAACAGCCCUACCAAGCCCAAGCCCAGGGAACUCAUGGUGGUUACUUAACAAUAAUAAACCCUUCAUUGGCAGCCUUCCCUUCUCUUCCCUGACCCCAUGCUGGUACUUCCCAAGGUCACUUCCCAAAUAACCUUUUUUUCCUUGUGUUCUUAUUUCAGUUUUUAGCGAUAUUAACCCUGAGGCACUGCCUAAUGCACUAACUGACCUUCAUUCUUCAGAAUUCAACUUAGAAGUUGCCUCUUCAUGGAACUGUCUGAUUUCCUCUCUCGGACAUGCAAGGUUCGAUCAGGAAUCUUUUCCACAGGCUCUCUGACACGUAGAAGGUGGCCAAUGUUUGUUCAUUAAUGGAUGACGUGUCUCUAGGUGAAAAGCACAUGCGAGAAGUAUGGCAUGAGGCCUCACAUAUAUUCAGUUCCCCAACGGUUUCCUGCAGAUGCGUUGCUCCAGCUCCAGUCUGAUCUCUGGUCAAGGUCCUCCCCCUUCUGGAGGAUAUAUUGAUUAGUGCUCUCUGGGGACAGUUCUAUUGAUAAUCUGGCUCUUCUCAGAAACACACAGCAUAAACAACCUUUCAGAUUUAUCCCAGCCUCCCUUGCUCAAUGUUAGCUGUUUCUCCUGGAAAUAUCGGUUUGGGGAGGAGAUGUUUAUUACCCCUAUGUCAUUUCUCAAGCCACGUUGGACACAUGAAGCCAAGCAAACAAUGGACUGUAACUGCUAAAAUAUGAGGAUCAAGUCUUCUACUUCAGCAUCUGGCCUUGUCCAGGAAGCUAUUUCUUUUCCUGCAGAGACUUGUGGCAACAAAGUGGACUCCCCAAGUUACAGCAUCCAAGCAAACAAGCACUAAGUCAC